UGGAGGGCAAGUCUGGUGCCAGCAGCCGCGGUAAUUCCAGCUCCAAUAGCGUAUAUUAAAGUUGUUGCAGUUAAAAAGCUCGUAGUUGAAUUUCGGGAUUUGUCAGUUGGUCGGGCUUAACUGUCCGUAUUGACUCGAUGGAUUCUUACCUUCUGAAUAACCAGCAUGCUAUUAAUUUAGUGCGUUGGGGAAGCAGAUCUAUCACCUUGAAAAAAUUAGAGUGCUUAAAGCGAGCUAGUGCUUGAAUAGAUUAGCAUGGAAUAAUAAAAUAGGACGACAUGGUUCUAUUUUGUUGGUUUCUAGGAUCACCGUAAUGAUUAAUAGGGAUAGUUGGGGGCAUUAGUAUUCAAUUGUCAGAGGUGAAAUUCUUGGAUUUAUUGAAGACUAACUUCUGCGAAAGCAUUUGCCAAGGAUGUUUUCAUUAAUCAAGAACGAAAGUUAGGGGAUCGAAGACGAUCAGAUACCGUCGUAGUCUUAACCAUAAACUAUGCCGACUAGGAAUCGGACGAUGUUAAUUUUAUAAUGACUCGUUCGGCACCUUACGGGAAAC
rnacentral:rRNA from 1 species